AGCAGCCGCGAUAAUUCCAGCUCCAAUAGCGUAUAUUAAAGUUGCUGCAGUUAAAAAGCUCGUAGUUGAAUUUCGGGACCAUCAUGUCGGUCGUGCCUCGGUACGUACUGGCAUUGUUGGUUUCUCCCUUCUGACGAACCAUGAUGUCAUUUAUUUGGUGUUGUGGGGAAUCAGGACUGUUACUUUGAAAAAAUUAGAGUGUUUAAAGCAGGCUCACGCUUGAAUACAUUAGCAUGGAAUAAUGAAAUAGGACGUUUGAUUCUAUUUUGUUGGUUUCUAGGAUCGACGUAAUGAUUAAUAGGGAUAGUUGGGGGCAUUAGUAUUCAAUUGUCAGAGGUGAAAUUCUUGGAUUUAUUGAAGACUAACUACUGCGAAAGCAUUUGCCAAGGAUGUUUUCAUUAAUCAAGAACGAAAGUUAGGGGAUCGAAGACGAUCAGAUACCGUCGUAGU
rnacentral:rRNA from 1 species